rnacentral:rRNA from 1 species
GAUGAACGCUGGCGGCGUGCCUAAUACAUGCAAGUCGAGCGAACAGAUAAGGAGUUUGCUCUUUUGACGUUAGCGGCGGACGGGUGAGUAACACGUGGGUAACCUACCUUUAAGCCUGGAAUAACUUCGGGAAACCGGAGCUAAUGCCGGAUAACAUUUAGAACCGCAUGGUUCUAAAGGGAGAGAUGGUUUUGCUAUCACUUAUAGAUGGACACGCGCCGUAUUAGCUAGUUGGUAAGGGAACGGCUUACCAAGGCAACGAUACGUAGCAGACCUGAGAGGGUGAUCGGCCACACUGGAACUGAGACACGGUCCAGACUCCUACGGGAGGCAGCAGUAGGGAAUCGUCCGCAAUGGGCGAGAGCCUAACGGUGCAACGCCGCGUGAGUGAUGAAGGUCUUCGGCUCGUAGAACUCUGUUAUUAGGGAAGAAGAAAUGUGUAAGUAACUGUGCGCGUCUUGACGGUACCUGAACAGAAAGCCACGGCUAACUACGUG